UAGCUGAACUUUUUUUUUUUCUUUUGGCAAAAGUGACAUGUUUUAUGUUAUAUUUUGGGGCAUGUUAUUGUUCAGUUGCUGUUCUUUUACUUUUAGUUGUUGCUCUUCUUUGUGUGUACAAACUUUGUGUUGUGUAUGUUACAGCUGGUUCAGCAAUUGCCUUAGCAAUUAACCUGCUCUUUAUAUGUAGAAUGGUGUUUAAUGGUACAUGCAGUUCUCUUGUCUGAAGUUUUGGUCAUUUGUUUCUAUGUUUUCUGCCUUUUCAAUAGCAAUUGAAUCUAUUAUGUGCAAGAUUUAUAGUUUGCCACCUAUUAUGUGCCACAGAAAAUCUGUUUCUUAUUGCAAAGUUUUAAUAUUGAUAUUUCUUUCCAUGCUUAUUUUUGCAUGACUAGAGCUAAUUUUCAGAUUAAGCAUGCCCAGCAUCUUACACUUGGGACUGCAAACAGGUUUGGUGAACUAGGGAUUAUUGCUUCAGUACAGGUUCAUCACAACUCUCUGUUGCACUCUAGUAACAUACUGUAACAUUUAAGGUUGAGUUUUGAAUUAAAUGUUGGUUUCUGUGUGUGAAACUAGAUAUUCAUUUAUUUUUUAAGAAACUACAUAAUUUAACAAUGAAGUGUAGAUAAUCACUACAACAAAGUGAAGUAAUUGUCACUUAAGGUUCUUAUUUUAAUACUUUUCCAUAAAACUUGUGUAGAAUUUGGAAAUAUCUUGUCUUGAAAAGAAUUUGGAUAUGAGACUCAGUGUAGUCACCAAAGAAACUAAACCUGGUCUAACUGUAAGUCUUCUAUAUAUCAUAUUAACUGAAAAUCUAGCUUUCUAGAGACUACAGAGAUAUUGAUUACUGCUAAAUUAUUCAUGCUAUAUUAUAGGAAGAUGACAUGCUAUUUAAUUGAAACUAAUCUAGAUUUUUUAUGAACACUUAGAAUCUUGUGCAACUGGGAUAUCUAACUGAAACUAAUCUAGAUUUAUGAUGUUUUGACAAUACUAAUUAACUAAAAGCUUCUGCAGCAAUACCUGCUAGGCUGUGUGUUUUGCUUUAAUGGGCAUUGAGUGUGGGUUGUUGAGAUCAUCUGCACUUUGGUCAGGAAAUUAUCUCCUAAUCCUAAUAGUGUUGCUAUAAUGGCCAUGGGUGCUAACAUCUUGGGUUCAUGGGAGGAGCUGCCAUUGUUGGGUUCAUGGGAGGAGCUGUCAUUACAAUUGCCCUUCAGCAGCUCAAAGGAUUGCUUGGCAUAAAAAAGAAUUUCACAAAGAAGAAUCUCUGUUUUGCGCUCAGUGUUUAAUUCAACCCACCAUGUUGUAAUAUGAUUUCUUAAGCCUAGACUAGUAGACUAAAUAUUGUAAUUACAUUUGAGUAAUUAAUAAAAAUCUAUUUAUGUUA